GACGAACGCUGGCGGCGUGCUUAACACAUGCAAGUCGAACGGAAAGGCCCUGCUUUUGUGGGGUGCUCGAGUGGCGAACGGGUGAGUAACACGUGAGUAACCUGCCCUUGACUUUGGGAUAACUUCAGGAAACUGGGGCUAAUACCGGAUAGGAGCUCCUGCUGCAUGGUGGGGGUUGGAAAGUUUCGGCGGUUGGGGAUGGACUCGCGGCUUAUCAGCUUGUUGGUGGGGUAGUGGCUUACCAAGGCUUUGACGGGUAGCCGGCCUGAGAGGGUGACCGGCCACAUUGGGACUGCGAUACGGCCCAGACUCCUACGUGAGGCAGCAGUGGGGAAUAUUGCACAAUGGGCGGAAGCCUGAUGCAGCAACGCCGCGUUCGUGAUGACGGCCUUCGGGUUGUAAACCGCUUUCGCCUGUGACGAAGCGUGAGUGACGGUAAUGGGUAAAGAAGCACCGGCUAACUACGUG
rnacentral:rRNA from 1 species